CGUCAGAGAAAACACACCGACCCCCGAGCGAGCCUGACCUGGCGGCCGGGUCCUUCCCGCAAAAGCGACGACAACAGCAACAAAAAAUUAUCUCCGUUGGAGGAAGGUUUCUUCAGAAGGGGGAGGAGAAGAGAAGGGGACAAGAGUGCGUGUGCGCCUUUCCUUCAAGGUUUGGGGAGCUAAAAUGAUUUAGUACCUUGUCUGUAAAUCUAAUGACCUAAGUUCUGCACAGAGGCGAGAAGGGAAAAAUAGUGCCUGAGAGACCUGAAGUCCCGUACACCUCCUGCCAGCCUGUUUCCUCGAGAAAUAAUGCCCCCUUUCUGCUCGCGGGCGUGUUCCCCUGCUUCUGCCUGUAAGCAGCCCAGGCUACAGUGUGUACCACAAGGGGGUAAGCAAAGGUAAGGGGCCAU